rnacentral:lncRNA from 1 species
UCAAGAGUACCAUGUGUACAACAAAGUUCUUCUCCUUGCAUGAAAAAUUUAGCUAUGUAAACUUACCCCUAUUACCUUAGUCCCUUAUGGGGCUUAUGGCUUUUCCUUUGUCUUAGGUGGUUGAGAGACAGAACAGUUUGACUUGAGCACUAACUUUCUCAUUCUUAGCAAGUUUCAUAUCAGAGGUUUUGUGAUAUUUUCAAAAGAAAGCUUAAAUGUUCCUCUUAUGGUUCUCUCAUGUCACUCAAAUGGUGUAUGAUUCCUCACCAAGGCAUAUGGUAAGAGUUGCCUUCUCUAUUUCAUCCUAUUUCUAAAAGGCUUAUGUGGAGUUCAAGGUAGGGAUGAAAGGAGAUAGCAUACUUACUUUGCAUGUAUUGCGAAGUCAAAGCUCGGAUCCUUGAAGAGAAGUGUCAUACUCCCAGAUCAAGAUGUGCAAGUGUGAUAUAUGGUGGACUAGGUUGCUCCUUUAUUUGAUAGACUCUCUAUGUAUUGAGACAUGGCUAGCAUUUUUUUUCUUCUUUUUUUUAUAUAUGAGCUUUCAUGUGCUCAAUUUUCUUUUUCUGUGGACUUGCACAUGUCCAUCUUUUUAUUUCAUUUUGCCUAGCCUUUUGAUGUCUCAUUUACCAAAUAAUGCUUAGAGAGAUGUUCUAACAUUUAGAGUAUGGAGCAACCUAUUUAGUGGAUGCGAAAUACAUGUGGUUGCGUACUUCCAGUGUAGAAGCAGCAUAUAUAUAUAUGUGGUGUGUACGUGAUCUUGAUCUUAGGAGCAUGAAAAGUCUCUUAACAAGGGUCAACAAGACUUGACGACACUCAACACAAAGCGAAUAGCUUAUGUGGAAAGGUUGCAAUUAUGUAAAGUAGAUAUGGCUGUGGUAGGAAUUCAUCACCAUUGAGGAACAAUUAAGGUUUUAAUCAUUUUAAGAAUAAAUCUCUGAUAAUCAUGCAUGCUUAGAAAAACAUUAUAGUAGCUCUUGUCUUACUAUCUCAUGUCCCACAACAACUUAGACUUAGUUCUAGCACUUGCAACCCACAAAGUUUUUAGGUUCAUGGCAGUUUAAGUGAGCUAAGUGAUCCAUACUUAGAGAAAUACUAAGUUGUAUACUAGGCACUAGAGAAACAUUAACAAGCAACUAGUCAUAAUUUCCAUGAGGGAUAUAAACAUACAUGAAGCAUAUAUGCUAAAGGGAAAUGCUAAUAAAUAUUUAUUUGUUUUUAAGUAAGAAUGAUAAAAUGCAUGAAAAUAAAUAGGAUAGAAUACUUACCUUAGUGGGGGAGAGGAUCUCCCCCAAGCUAGAUCUUCGCUCACUGUGGUGGCGGGAAAUUUUGGUACCAUCCAGCCCAGCGUUGUGCGUCUUCCUCUCGCACACGUCGGAUAUGUUGGCCGUUUUGUAACGCAGUUGCAAUGUUGCUUCUUGCCCAAUCUGCAAUUCGCCCAUGUCAUUAAUGAGACUGUCCAUACCUGUGGGCUGGUGACGCCUAGCCCUGUCCCUUGGGCGUGGAGUGCGUUGUGGAGGUAGACCCAUGGAGUCUGAAGCAUCCACUGACAUCGCUUCAUCGCCCUCUUCAACGUCAUG